rnacentral:lncRNA from 1 species
GAACAAGCACAAGGCACAGGAAGAUAGUGUUGUUGAGGGUAUCACACGAGGAAUUUUUCCUUUCUUUUGCCAGAUGUUGAAAUUAAAUUAGAUGAAGAUGGAUUUGUAUUGCCAUUUACAGUGGAUGAGGAUGUCCAUACAAGGUAAAGAAAGCUGUGGGUGCUACGGAUGCUUUUCUUAAGAUAGACAAGCAUGAUUCUGGAAAUUAAACUCCUGAGCUUCAUGGAGCAGCAGCAGCAAGCACAGAGCCUACAUGGGUGUGCAUCAGGCCCUGGUGUAGAUGUUAAGUGAUUAGCUUAGUAUUUUUGUGGGAUUCCUGACGGUGAGACAAGUGGGUCUCUGACUCUCUUGCCUGCUCUUUGGACUCUUCCUCCUGUUGGUUGCUGUGUCCAACUUUGAGAGGCUUCAUGUCGUUUUGUCGUGUUUGGUUAUUAUCUCUUAGAAGCCUGUUCUUUUCUAAUGAGACAAAAAGGAAGUGGCUCUGGAAGAGAGGAGAGGUGGAGAGGACCUGGAAGGAGUCCGGGGAGGGUAAACCAUCAUGGGGACUGUUAGGAGAAAGGAAUCUAUUUUCAAUAAAAGGAAAAACAAGCGAAAACAAAUGCUGAAUCUCUCAGUUUUGGAAAAAUCCUUUCAUUCAGUAAACACUAAUAGGAUUAAAUUUUUUUCAACAAAUGAAAGGGCCAUCUAUUCAUGAUUGAUUUAAAAAUAAUAGUGGCACAUAGGGCUAAACAAGUAAUUUCUGGCAAGGAAGGGUGCACUUUGACUUGUUGCUUUUGCUUUCUCAGGGUGGCCCUGUGUAUUGAUGGCCCACAGCGAUUUUGCUUGGGCAGUAAACACUUACUUGGAAAAGAGGCCAUUAAACAAAGACACCUGCGGUUACUUGGUUACCAGGUUGUUCAGGUAUGGUAUCAUCUGUCUUUGUUUUUGUUUUUCCUUCAAAAUGCAGUGUCUGUUACUAAAAUUUGCUUUUUCAAUUACGUACAUGGUACACAGUACAACUCCAAAGACUUUACUGGAAUGAACUGCAACCAACAAGUAGAACCAACUCAGAAGAGAAGUGGGGCCAGACGAGGGCGGUCAUGGGCUUGGCUAGGAUGGUCCAUCGAUGACGGCCUGCCUGUUGUCUGUUCGAGGUCUUGUAGGAACAUCCUAAUUAUACUUUUGCAGGGCUAGUAGGUUCUUUCAAGUCCAUGUACAAGAAAAGCUCCAAGCUGCAAUCCGAGCAAGGGUGGAGUUAGCUCCCAAACCCUUCCUGACAUUGUCUGCUCAUGGAUUUUACAGACCCAGCCUCUAUUUUAAUUUACUGUAACAGUAAGUGGCUUGAUGCUCCAGCCACUAGUUUAUAUCUUAGGGGUUGAUUCGGUUUAUUACUUGACUCACAUUUUGUAGUUAGGAUUUUCAAAGCUUGGUAUUUUCCAAAGUGGUACAUACCUAUUUCCUUACCAACAUGCUCACCUCUGCCUUCAGAAUUACUGCUGUUGGAAUAGCUUUUGCUUCCGUGUCUGUCUGAUUUAAUGGGUAAAUUUAGCAAGGUUGUUCCAGGGUCUUUAUCUACCCUUACUCUU